rnacentral:rRNA from 1 species
GAACGCUGGCGGCGUGGCUAAGGCAUGCAAGUCGAACGAGGUGUGUGGAAGGUAACGGAAGCACAUUUAGUGGCGAACGGGUGAGGAAUAGAUAGGUAACGUACCCUGGACUCAGGAAUAGCGGCGGAACUUCGGUUCCUUUGCGAAAGUGCCGGUAAUACCUGAUGACAUCACUGGAUCGCAUGGUCCGGUGAUCAAAGGUCCGCGGGUCUGGGAGCGGCCUAUCUCCUAUCAGCUUGUUGGUGGGGUAACGGCCUACCAAGGCUUCGACAGGUACCAGGCGUGAGAGCGCGAUCUGGCACAUCGGGACUGAGACACUGCCCGGACAUCUACGGAUGGCUGCAGCAACGAAUAUUCCGCAAUGGGCGAAAGCCUGACGGAGCGACGCCGCGUGUAGGAUGAAGCACCUCGGUGUGUAAACUACUGUCAGGGGUUAGGAAGAAAGUGACCAACCCCAAAGGAAGCCUCGGCUAACUCCGUGCCAGCAGCCGCGGUAAUACGGAGGAGGCAAGCGUUGUUCGGAAUUACUGGGCUUAAAGCGUGCGUAGGCGGGAUGGCAGGUGUCGUGUGAAAGCCCUCGGCUCAACCGAGGAAUUGCUCGGCAAACCGUCAUUCUUGAGGCCAGCAGGGGGACCUGGAACUUUGGGUGGAGCGGUGAAAUGCGUAGAUAUCCAAGGGAACGCCGGUGGCGAAAGCGGGGUCCUGGGCUGGUUCUGACGCUGAGGCACGAAAGCGUGGGUAGCAAACAGGAUUAGAUACCCUGGUAGUCC